rnacentral:rRNA from 1 species
CAGUCGCCGCGGUAAUACGGAGGGAGCUAGCGUUAUUCGGAAUUACUGGGCGUAAAGCGCACGUAGGCGGCUUUGUAAGUUAGAGGUGAAAGCCUGGUGCUCAACACCAGAACUGCCUUUGAUACUGCAUCGCUUGAAUCCAGGAGAGGUGAGUGGAAUUCCGAGUGUAGAGGUGAAAUUCGUAGAUAUUCGGAAGAACACCAGUGGCGAAGGCGGCUCACUGGACUGGUAUUGACGCUGAGGUGCGAAAGCGUGGGGAGCGAACAGGAUUAGAUACCCCGGUAGUCCCUGUCUCUUAUAC